CGAACGCUGGCGGCGUGCUUAACACAUGCAAGUCGAACGUGAUUUUUGUGGAAAGCCCUUCGGGGACGGAAGCGAAAUGAAAGUGGCGAACGGGUGAGUAACACGUGAGCAACUUACCUUACACAGGGGGAUAGCCGUUGGAAACGACGAUUAAUACCGCAUGAGACCACAAAGCCACAUGGCUUAGGGGUAAAAGAUUUAUCGGUGUAAGAUGGGCUCGCGUCUGAUUAGCUAGUUGGAAGGGUAAAGGCCUACCAAGGCAACGAUCAGUAGCCGGUCUGAGAGGAUGAACGGCCACAUUGGAACUGAGACACGGUCCAAACUCCUACGGGAGGCAGCAGUGGGGAAUAUUGCACAAUGGGGGGAACCCUGAUGCAGCGACGCCGCGUGAGCGAAGAAGGUUUUCGAAUCGUAAAGCUCUGUCCUAUGAGAAG
rnacentral:rRNA from 1 species